rnacentral:misc_RNA from 1 species
GGAAACUGCAUACUUUCUCGUCCUGGAGAGAACAAACACUGUAGGGGUAUUUGCGUAAAUUAAUGAAAUCCAAGCAUCCUCAGAAUUCUAAGAGCUAAGCAAACCAACUUGUAUCGGGAGAGGGAGAGCUAAGGAGAGAAUAAAAGGGGAGGAGAGGGGCAGAAGCGCCGUUGCUCGAUCUCUCUGAAGGCGAUCGCAUCAUAAUCACCCCUCGAUUUUUUUUGGGAACUACCCUCACAUUAUCAAAAUCAAAAACCCUAAUUUGGCUGCUUCUAUUUUUGGUUCCUCUCUUCCCCUGAUCAUUUUUAUUCCGGUUUUGCCCCUCUCUCAUUGAUCAUCAACAGCAGCUUGUCAGAUUCACCAGAAACCCUAAUUUUUCUCUAUGGCUACGACAGCUAAUGCCCUUAGUACCUCGAUAGCAUCAACGCCGACUAAUCACUCACCUCGGCAUCCCACCCCUGCGGCUGCCGUUGAGAAUCAUAAUCGCCCUCAUUCACGGCGCGGUAGUGGUGGUGGUUCAAGAGUGGUGUCCUCGCCGUGGACACAAAUUGUUCGGGGGGAAUCGGAGACGGUCACUGUGGCAGCCACUCAUUCACCGUCGGCGAGAGAGCCGAUGGUUGUGACUGAUCAACCAGUGUUGGUUGCUUCAUCAUCCUCUUCUUUGAUGACGACGGCGGAAGAAGAGAUUUUGGAUAAUGGGAAUGUUUCCAACAGCAAUGCGGCUAAGAGGCCAGUCUGGAAUAAGCCGUCGAAUGGGGCUACGGAGGUUGGGCCGGUGAUGGGAGCGGUUUCCUGGCCUGCUUUGUCUGAGUCAGCUAGGGCUUCAGGGAAGCCGUCUCAAGAUUUAUCCAAAGGUUUAUCUGAUGGUUCAUCGUCUGUCCCAGUUCCACAGGGAACUGGAAGUGCAUCUUCAUCUUCACAUAAACAAGUUAGCAAUAAUGCAAGCCCUAAUUCAACUCCAAAUCAUACAAUGUCAGCACGCCAGAGAUCAAUGAAGCGUAAUGGUGCUAACACAUCUUCCAAUGGUGGCACCCCUCAACCACCAGGAUCACAGCCCCAAACAGGGGAAGUUCAUUUAAAUAACCCUUCUCCUAGGGAUCAUUCACAAAGGAACUCACAAUCCCGUGGUGCUAAUGAUCACCCACAACAGCAGCGCAAUUCAUUCAGGCGCAAUGGUGGUCCACAUUCACGUGGAGAUGGUUCUCACCAUCACAAUUAUGGGGGCAGACGUGAUCAAGAUCGUGCAAAUCAAGACUGGAACACUCAUCGAAACUUCAACAGCAGAGAUAACCAUAUGCAGCCACAUAGAGUUGUCCAAAGGUUUAUUAGGCAUCCACCACCUCCACCGCCACCACCUACUACUGCCCCAUUUAUUGGAUCCCCAAUGCGGGCCUUUAGCAGUCCCAUUGGAUUCCAUGAAUUUUAUUAUUUUGCUGGCCCACCUCCAGACACUCUCAGAGGCAUGCCUUUUGUUGCAGCACCAAUACCGCCUCCUGCAAUGUAUUUUACUACUCCAGACCCUCAGUUGCAUUCUAAAAUAGUGAAUCAGAUAGAUUAUUAUUUCAGUAAUGAAAAUUUAAUUAAAGAUACAUUCUUGCGGCAGAACAUGGAUGACCAGGGCUGGGUAUCUAUUAAAUUAAUAGCAGGCUUCAACAAAGUUUCACAUUUGACUGACAAUAUCCAGUUUAUAUUGGAGGCUAUAAGAAGUUCAUCUGUUGUUGAAGUACAGGGCGACAAAGUAAGGAGGCGAAACGAUUGGAUGAGAUGGAUAAUGCCACCUUCUGUUCAGUUUCCAAGUGUUUCAGGUCCUCCGUCACUUAGGAGGUCCAGUCAUGACAUGCUGGCAGCCCGUGUCCAGCGUAUUUCAUUGGAGGAAAAUGCCAGUAGCCACAGCAGUGGAAGGAGUCCAGCAGAUGUGCAUAAUGAAGCAUUUAUCGGCAGAUCUUCAUCUGGGGAAUUGAAUAGCCAGUCGCUUGUAUCUACUACUGAAGGAACAGGUCAAGUCAGUGUACGGGGAGGUUCAGAUUCAUCUACUUGAGCAAGAAAUUUGAGCAAGUAAAACGUGUGCUGUGGCACAUUCUACUGGAACUUCUUGGUAGAAGGUGGGGAGUGAUGGCUUUGAUUGCAGUGGUGGAUGUCUCGUCUUUUCUUGGUGGUAGUGGUCUUGCCUUGGCGCGAUGAAACACAGUUUCUCGUGGGGCAAUUAGAAAGACAAGUAGAAGGAAAGCAAAAGAAAACUUUUUAGACAGACGAAAAACUGAAAGGGAUAAAAAAAAUAUAUUAUAUAAAAAAAAGACAGAAAUGAAAAACAUUUAUAACUAGAGCUAGUAGCAUGAGUUUACUGGGAUGUAUCUAUGGUUUUUGUUGAGGGGGGGAUGGGGGGUAUUGUGUUUUUUUAUCCCAUAAAUGUUUGUGGUGGCCUAUUUGGUGUUAUUAAUGGGGGAAUUUUGGUUUUGCAUCCCCGUGUUGCCCGCCAGCUGGGUUUUAAAAAUCUCUGGGAUCAGAUCAUCUCCGAUUAGAGGAGGUAAAUAUAUCAUUUCUGAGAGAUGGAACAAAAGAAUAUAGUUCGUUUCGAGUCUUCGUGCUGUGAGGAGAGAGUGGCUUUUAUGGGAUGCUGCGGCUUUUGCUAUGAUCUGGCUGUUUAGGUUUCUCGUAACACAUUAUAUUUAUAAUUGCAUUUAUAUGUAUACCUUCUUCAUACCUUUUGAAGAUUUCACUGCAUAAAAUGGUCCUCUCAGUGAAACCAUGGCAACAUCUAGUUUCAGGGCUGGAUGUGUUUGACGUUAUAUUUGUGUUAAAUUUAAGACUUAGAUUGUGGAAUUUUGGCCAUAUCCGAAUGAUUUUAUUGUGUUUAUUAAUUCAUAUCGGUGUCUGGAUGAUUUGCUUUGCCUGAUGUUUUUAGUUUUGUAUGUUGUUUUCUUUUUUAACGAUCAAAGAGAGU